GACGAACGCUGGCGGCGUGCUUAACACAUGCAAGUCGAGCGGUAAGGCCCUUUCGGGGGUACACGAGCGGCGAACGGGUGAGUAACACGUGGGUGACCUGCCUUCAGCUCUGGGAUAAGCCUGGGGAAACUGGGUCUAAUACUGGAUAUGACUCCACGGUGCAUGUCGUGGGGUGGAAAGCCUUGUGCGGCUGAGGAUGGG
rnacentral:rRNA from 1 species